rnacentral:rRNA from 1 species
UACGUAGGGUGCAAGCGUUAAUCGGAAUUACUGGGCGUAAAGCGUGCGCAGGCGGUUUUGUAAGCCAGAUGUGAAAGCCCCGGGCGUCAACCUGGGAACGUGCGUUUGGUAACUACAAGACUAGAGUGUGUCAGAGGGGGGUGGGAAUUCCGCGUGUAGCAGUGAAAUGCGUAGAGAUGCGGAGGAACACCGAUGGCGAAGGCAGCCCCCUCGGGUAGUAACUAC